rnacentral:tRNA from 1 species
AAUAAAGUGCCUGAUUUAAAAGGAUUAUUUUGAUAGGAUAAAUCAUGUGAUUAGUCACCUUUAUUA